UUAACUCACAUUUGUAUAGAGAUGGAAUGUUUGUCUACGUUUGCCGCUAGGGACGCUGUUCCAACUGCAUACAAAUUGGAAUUA
rnacentral:pre_miRNA from 1 species